AAAGGUGACUGGUGUUCAGACGUGUUAUCUUUUAUUCUCAGUUUCUUGUUUGUAAAUUUUUUUUUUCUAAAGGCAACCUCUGUAGAAAAUGCAUUUUAUUUGAAUGAGAGUGGAGACUGGGGGACCCGUGACUAUUAUCAACGCUGCCUGACUGCAAGUCAUGUCCGUUCUCUUCUUCAUGCUACGUUAACUAAGAGAACAAAGCCUUUAAAGAGUUUGUAGGAAGAGGCUCCCGGUGGAUGCUGAGCUGAAUGUCCGUAGUUUCAGUGGAGUCCUCCCUAUGGAAACACACUAAGACAUCCCUGCUGUUCUCAUGACUGUCUCACACAGCCACAUGUACGCUACACUUGUUCGUUUCAUUCAUUUUGUUGUGCAUCGGCUUACACUUUGUUUUAAAGUUUGCAUUAACAUAGAGUUAAAGGAGAGAUGCUUUUCGCAGCGAGGGGCUCUGAAGGUCCUUCCAUAGUCACUUCCUCCUGCAGAGCCAUCAGGGUUACUUUAUUUAAAUUUAUUUAUUCUUACUAUUAUUAUUGUACGCUACACAUUACUAUUUCAUUUGGUUGCAGUUAGAUUUUUGGAGCAAUAUGUGUUACGUAUUACCGUGUUAGCCUAGUAUCAUCCUGAUUUGUUUGAUGAAAGAAAAAGACAAAAAAAGAUCUUCUGUUUAGUUGUGUGACAUAUUAAAGCUAUCUUGUCUUUA